rnacentral:rRNA from 1 species
CCGUCAGAACUUCUUCCUUGAGAAAAGGGGUUUACAACCCAAGAGCCUUCCUCCCCCACGCGGUCUUGCUCCGUCAGGCUUUCGCCCAUUGCGGAAAAUUCCCCACUGCUGCCUCCCGUAGGAGUCUGGGCCGUGUCUCAGUCCCAGUGUGGCUGAUCGUCCUCUCAGACCAGCUACUGAUCGUCGCCUUGGUGGGCUUUUACCCCGCCAACUAGCUAAUCAGACGCGAGCUCAUCUCCAGGCGAUAAAUCGUUUUACCUUUCGGCUCAUCCGGGAUUAGCAGAGGUUUCCCUCUGUUGUCCCCGUCCUGGAGGCAGAUUCUCACGCGUUACUCACCCGUCCGCCACUAGCUCCGAAGAGCCCGUUCGACUUGCAUGUGUUAAGCAGACCGCCAGCGUUCAUCCUGAGCCAGGAUCAAA